ACGUUCAUCACCCAUACGUCCUUGCUCUUAAGAGCAGCAGCAAAAGAUCCCAGGUUUGCUUUCAUGUCCAUCACAUUCCUUAUUGUAUCUGAUUGAACCUUCGGACUCAAGAGAUUCCAGUAGCUCUCCACUCUCCUUCUCCAGAGCUCCUACAGAACACAAUCCAUGUUCAACAAAAGUAUAUUGCGAUCUUGUAAAUUCAAGUUCUCGUGUUCCAUCAUCAUCUCAUUUUGACUACCUUUGUAAUUACUAAUUAGUGUACAUUAUGAUAGGAAAAAGCAACCGCAAAAGUUUUAAAAUGAUUCAGGCACUUACCACAUCCUUCUCAAACAUUUCAUUUGAGUAGCCAAAAUCAGCAAGUCUUGGCGGAGGAGUGGUCAAUCUAGCUGGCCAAGGAGCUAAUCCACUGCCCUUCACUCUAUGGUCGUCUGGUAGAGAACAAAGCCGAUGGUAAGCCCGAAGUAUAAUAAAAAUGACUAUCGGAAACUCUAUAUAUCAUGAUGAAUCAUGUAUUGAAUGGAACAAUUGCUUUCUAGGCAAGACUGCAGAUUGAGACGCGAGAUAGAUCCAAGAAAUGAUGCACUGAACUAGACACAAACAAGAUAGACCAAGGAGCUUCUUAACUUCGUAAUCCUUAUACUGGUCGAAUUAGUAUAAGACAUCUUGCAAGUAAAAGGUGCGUAUUUAUGACUAAAACCUAUCUAACAAGUAUUUAGCAAGUGAAAAGGACACCCAACACAAAUCCACCUUUCAGGUCAUCACACAAAUUAUACACCUGUCAAUUCAUGGUGCAUAGGGGGGACAGAGAAUGAUAUUAUCAUCAGCAAAUGUAUAAAAGGAAGGCCUGACACAUAAGAAAGAACAUGGGCCAGAAAAGAACUCACGCUCAGAAUAGGGUGUUAUGCAAGCUUCCAUUUGCACGCCCCAAACAGCAUCAGGAUCAUCAUCCGAGCGACAGAGAGGAGGUUGAGUACCAGGUUCUCUUUCCAUAUAACAGUCAUUUGUUAGAGACUUCUGCCAAAUGACAGUCUGGUUUCUUUUUGCAGCAAUUCUCCAGCACAUUCUUUCCACAAGGGCACUCAUUUCUCUCCAUAUUCUAAGAUCUUCUUCAUCUUGUGCAUAUGCCUCAGGUGAUGAAUAUGCAAAAUAACCUCCUGGUCUGAGUAACCGAUCAAGCUCUAGAAGAAGAAUACCGUCCCUCUGAAGCCAAUCUAUUCUACAACGAGAACAGUGGGCAAACUCGAAAGAUCGGCUUGGAUAAGGGAGCC
rnacentral:lncRNA from 1 species